rnacentral:rRNA from 1 species
AUUGAACGCUGGCGGCAUGCCUUACACAUGCAAGUCGAACGGUAACGGGCCUUCGGGUGCCGACGAGUGGCGAACGGGUGAGUAAUACAUCGGAACGUGCCCGAUCGUGGGGGAUAACGAGGCGAAAGCUUUGCUAAUACCGCAUACGAUCUACGGAUGAAAGCCGGGGACCGCAAGGCCUUGCGCGGACGGAGCGGCCGAUGGCCGAGUAGGUAGUUGGUGGGAUAAAAGCUUACCAAGCCGACGAUCUGUAGCUGGUCUGAGAGGAUGAUCAGCCACACUGGGACUGAGACACGGCCCAGACUCCUACGGGAGGCAGCAGUGGGGAAUUUUGGACAAUGGGCGCAAGCCUGAUCCAGCCAUGCCGCGUGCAGGAUGAAGGCCUUCGGGUUGUAAACUGCUUUUGUACGGAACGAAAAGCCUUCUUUUAAUACAGGAGGGUCAUGACGGUACCGUAAGAAUAAGCACCGGCUAACUACGUG